rnacentral:rRNA from 1 species
AUUGAACGCUGGCGGCAGGCUUAACACAUGCAAGUCGAGCGGGGGAAGGUAGCUUGCUACCGGACCUAGCGGCGGACGGGUGAGUAAUGCUUAGGAAUCUGCCUAUUAGUGGGGGACAACAUCUCGAAAGGGAUGCUAAUACCGCAUACGUCCUAAGGGAGAAAGCAGGGGAUCUUCGGAUCUUGCGCUAAUAUAUGAGCCUAAGUCGGAUUAGCUAGUUGGUGGGGUAAAGGCCUACCAAGGCGACGAUCCGUAGCGGGUCUGAGAGGAUGAUCCGCCACACUGGGACUGAGACACGGCCCAGACUCCUACGGGAGGCAGCAGUGGGGAAUAUUGGACAAUGGGGGGAACCCUGAUCCAGCCAUGCCGCGUGUGUGAAGAAGGCUUUAUGGUUGUAAAGCACUUUAAGCGAGGAGGAGGCUACUUUAGUUAAUACCUAGAGAUAGUGGACGUUACUCGCAGAAUAAGCACCGGCUAACUCUAUGCCAGCCGCCGCAGUAA